rnacentral:rRNA from 1 species
GACGAACGCUGGCGGCGUGCUUAACACAUGCGAGUCGAACGGACCUUUCGGGGUUAGUGGCGAACGGGUGAGUAACACGUGGGUGAUCUGCCCUGCACUUUGGGAUAAGCCUGGGAAACUGGGUCUAAUACCGGAUAGGACUACGCACUGCAUGGUGUGUGGUGGAAAGCUUUUGCGGUGUGGGAUGGGCCCGCGGCCUAUCAGCUUGUUGGUGGGGUGAUGGCCUACCAAGGCGACGACGGGUAGCCGGCCUGAGAGGGUGACCGGCCACACUGGGACUGAGAUACGGCCCAGACUCCUACGGGAGGCAGCAGUGGGGAAUAUUGCACAAUGGGCGCAAGCCUGAUGCAGCGACGCCGCAUGAGGGAUGACGGCCUUCGGGUUGUAAACCUCUUUCGCCAGGGACGAAGCGCAAGUGACGGUACCUGGAGAAGAAGGACCGGCCAACUACGUGCCAGCAGCCGCGGUAACAC